rnacentral:lncRNA from 1 species
UUGAAAGAAAGAUAAAGGGAUGUAUCUGUAGGCCCAGCUCAUCUGUGGAGAUGUGAUGUGGUCAACACAGCAGGGGCUCUCUUCCAACAGCCGCAAAAGCACUGAGUUCCAAAUGAUAAAACACUGUCUCAGGCUUCCAAGGACAGUCAAUGCAGCUUUCUCUGCAUGAGUUCUUAGGCAAGUCUCAUCAGAAUUAAGUGUUUACCUUGUAGGCUCCAGGGUUGUGGCCACUUCUGAGCCCUGGCUUUAUUGGUCAUGAGAUUUCCUUUGUAAGAAAUGUCUGCUAAAUUAAGUCAAUAGCCUGUGGGUGGAAAUAAUAACUUUCACACACAGAAAUCUCAAAAUUCUGAGCUUCAUGAAACUGAAUUGGAGCUUCCUGAAGUCUCCUGUUCAUUGUUUCUUUUCCAGUGCUUUGCCAUUGAUCCCUGGGACGAUUGGGAACACUGGCCCUUCACAACUUUGCUCUGCAACCUCACGGAUGGAAUCUCCUCAGACCACUCAACUCUCCGGGCAAGUGGAUGCUGACUGUCAGAAAAAGAAGAAGGAGGUCAUCGGUAUUAAAUGCAUGACGGCAUGUGCGGCCUACUGCUGCUUCCCCAGUACCACCGCCAGUGUUCUGGGUCUCUUUUGCAACUCUGGGUUGGGAGGGUCACUCUAUAUCUGCAUUUGCCCUGUCGGUAAUCACACUGACAUUCAGGUACAAACUGGUCAUUAGCAACUAGGUCAUUAUUUUGUUAUGCACUACUUUACAAUAAAGGAAGAAGGAAAAGGGAUCAUCCUUUAGCUCAGAUACUUAAGAGUUACAGAAUUCAGGUGAUAUAUUCACAAUAGCCAUUAGCUAUAGAAGUCACCAGAUCUUCAUGAUCUCUGGUAUAAAUUAAUAAAGUAGUACCCAAGUAUUCCAUCUUUAUGUCUCAUCCAUAUUUUACUAUUUUAUUCCUUGAGAAUUAUCCUAGGAAAGAUAGAAUUUCACUCCUUGCUACUUUUUAACCAACCCACGUAUGGAUUCCACAAGUACUUGAAUAAGGAAUGGCAAGAGAUUGAACACAAAAUAGGUACUAGAUGACUAUUAGCUAAAUGAAUGAAUGAAUGAAUUCAUGCAUGAAUAAUUAAGUAGUAUAUAUUUCAUCAAAACUACAUCUUCUAGCUUUAGAGUGUAUGACAUCUAAAACCACAGUUAGCAUAGAAUUUAGAGAAUUCAAGUUCUCUAUGACACAUGAAUACAUUCAUGUUCUUUGAAAGCCCCUGCCUGGAUGGCACUACAUUAAAUUAAAAAAUCAGAAAACUACAGUUGGUAAUGCCCUCUAGAGAUACAGAUUAUGUCCCCCUGCCCUGUAGCAAGUGGUGGAUAACUGAGGGUUUGGAGUUAAGGAAACCUUAAUUUGCAUUUCAGUCCCUUAUCUUACUGGGAUGUGCCAUUUGCACAAACAAAAGAAACAGAAACAUUGCACAAGCAACAGAAAGAGCAGUGCUGCCAUAUUGGACUCUAACACUUUCAUAUUUAUCAAUUAUUGUAUUUAGUUUGAUUUAUUAAAAUGUAAUAACAUAGGUGUGUUGAUUACUGAAUUUCUUGUCACCCCCUUAAAUUUUGCUCACUCACCUCACCCUAAUCCCACCCUCUCAGCAUUACUGUUUUCUUCAGGUGCAAAGUAUGAUGAUAAUUUCUUCCUCCUAGGAUCAGUUAGAAUUUAAUAAGCUAGUGCAGUGUCCAGGUGCUCAUAACGUCUGCUCACUAAGUGGUAGAUAUUAUGGUUAUUAGAUACUUUGUUAGCAUCACUUAAGAAAGGAAUAGUGGUGUUUGAGGACUCUCUUUAGAUAGACUAUUGGUACAAGAUAAAGAGCUUAAUAAAUAACUGGAAGAAAUGAUAUCAGGUUACCUCAAAGCUGUCUUUUAUCCUCCUUUUUUAUGAUUAUUUUUUAAAACAAAAGACUGCUUUAUCAGAAUACAGGAAAGACAUGUCCAUCCAGUAUUGUCUGGAAGAGAAUCACGGUUCCUCCAAAUGAGAAUUAUGGUUCCACAAGUGCCAAGGCAUGUGAUGCUCUAGGAGUUCGGGUCACAUUUAGGACAGUAUAGCACUGGCACACAUUAGUUCAGGGCAAACAUCAGACGUUUGUGAUAUGUUUUUCUGUACAUGGAGUAUGGUCUGAGGUGUGAGAGGGACAGUGAUGCGUGUUGUGUCAGUGCCACUGGUGGGGGUCAUCAUGAGCCAAGGUUAUGAGCCAGUACUUAUGUAGAGAGGUACUACAAUCAAUGUUGGGCAAGAAAAUAUAACCCAUACUAAUUAUUCCACCAGAGAUCAUGAAUAUGGGGAACUGGGUAACAAGGUGUAGGAAGAUAAACUAGACAGAAGAAAAGACUGAAGCUCUUCCAGGGCUGGCAGAACAUGGAGAAGUUAGGAUUCCCAGAAACUGCAAGUUUUAGGACCUGUAGGAAAACUAAAAAGGCUGGCAGAGCUGGGGCCAACCUUCCAAGGAGAGGUGCCACCUGGCUGCUUCUGUAUCUCAAGAGCUUAUUGGAAGGACCAGGCAGAGCUGGUAGUUAUCCUCUGGGAGGGGGCAUUGCACAGCCCAUGCCGGUUCCCAUGGCAGGGAACAUGACCUGGCCUGGGAACUGUGGAAAGAAGCUGGAAACAGAACCAGCUGUUCUUAGAAAUAAGUACUUCUUAUUCUGGGUGAAGGGCCAUUGCUGAAACAGUGCUGACAGGAGGAACAAACCAACAGGAAGGAGCAAGUCCCCUUCUCCUCUUCUGUCUUCCAUCCUUUGUUUAUGACCCUGCUGAGAAACCUAACAUAAAGCCAACAGGCACAGAAGAAAUGUAGUUUGUAGAAUCCCAGUCUCUGUAUCACAAAGCAGAACAUAGAUGGUGCAUUUGGGGCUGAGAAACACAGGAGCUUAUAAGUGAUGUGGGGUGACUGGCAUCACUGGGUGAGGUAAGAGUCUGGGGUUGGAGUUAGAUAAGAACCCCAGGAGGAAAGGCUUUUUAAUACUUGGUCCUGCUGGAAUACAUGGCCCAUUGUCUGCAUUGUGCCUUGUCUUAUGGGGAGGAUGGGUCCCUGUCUCCCUUCCUCCUAGACAAGGUGGCAUUAACAAGGCAGUGUAGGAGAAGUUGAAUUUAUUACACUUACAAAUAAUUGGAAGUGAUCUUUAGCAAAUCAAAAAUAUUUAGCAAAUGAUUAAAUAGAUAUAUCUUUCUUCCUUUUGUUUUCUCUUGGUAAAGCACUUCAUUUUUUAAUGAAUAACUAAGGAAAAACUUAACAGGCUCUAACAAUGUAAUUCUAAUUAAAUGCUUUUUACAUUAAAAAAGAUUCAGAACAAUGUGUUGAGUAAGUAAUGGUGUUCAUGAGUAAUCUUUACACCAAGUAAAUGACUUAAGACCAUUUAUUAGAAGACUGUGAGAUCAUUUUUUCAUUUUCUUUCCUUUGUGGUUUGCAAGGAUGAGCAAAAGAAUAUCAACAAAAUAGUGAAAGGAAUUUUGUACAGAUGAACAACUAUCUCUGCUCCACAUCUUCAUCCACACAUCUUUAUAGAACAUUUACUGUAAAGGUGAUUUUGUAAGGGAGGACAUGACACAGUAAGCUUUUAAAAAAAGACUGGUUCUUGCCCUCAAGGAAUUUACAAUUGAAAGGAAGAGAUAGAGUGGACAAAGCAUUUAUGUAUCCCUAUGGCAACAUAUUUGUUUAUCCCAGAAGCUGAGAAUAUGAGCCAAAUAGGACUUGUUCAAAUGGAUGCCUUUCCUUUAGUUAAUGGCCUACCCUGAGAGCUGGUCAUUGCUUACUUGUUCGUUCUUCUGCUGAUGUAGGCAAGAAAGCCUCAAAUACUGAGAAGUACUAACAUAGUAUGAUCAUGUGUAUAAGUCAAUAAUGUAUUUUGGAACAUUUACUAAUGUAACUCCCAGACGUUUUUCUCAUGGAUGGGAUUUUUAUAUUCAUUGGAAAAAUAACAAUCACUGUAGUAUGUACCACUAAUUAAAAACUGUUGAAUAAUUUCCAACAGAUAUUAAGUAAUUAUUGGUAAUUCCAUGUCGGCACCAGUAAAUAAUUAUCUCACCUUGUAUCACAUAAUUAAAAUUACAAUGUCCCCCCAACAAAUAUUAAACAAUCAUAAAUAAUUCCAAUUGUGCAUGAUAGCAGCCACACAUUCAACUGGGCUGUGUUUGUAAUUUAAAAUGACAUUUUUCAUUUGACUGCUGAUUUAUGAAGUUUUAAAAAAUCAAUUUGCCUUUCUUAAUGGGCUAAUGCCCUUUGGGGAUACACCAGAUGUUCUCCUGCCCAAGGUUGGCAGCUGGGCAGAAAAAAAUUAGCCAAGCAUAUUGAUACAAGACCUAAACAAGAAAAGGGUAGUAAUAAUG